rnacentral:tRNA from 1 species
GCACCCGUAGCUCAAUUGGAUAGAGCAUCUGACUACGGAUCAGAAGGUUCGGGGUUCGAAUCCCUGCGGGUGUACUA